UCUAUGUCCUUAUAUAUUUUCGAAAAUAUAAGGAAGCAAAUAUUGUGUCGUAUAGCCAGCUGGAUACGAAGUUUCCUGCGGCUAAACAUCAGUAACAAUCGUCCCUUCCAGGACAGGCACAUUAUUUUGGCAAAUAGCCUUUACUUGAAAGAACUGUUAUUGAAAAUCUCUCUUUGAGUGAU